AUUGAACGCUGGCGGCAGGCCUAACACAUGCAAGUCGAGCGGAUGAGAAGAGCUUGCUCUUCGAUUCAGCGGCGGACGGGUGAGUAAUGCCUAGGAAUCUGCCUGGUAGUGGGGGACAACGUCUCGAAAGGGACGCUAAUACCGCAUACGUCCUACGGGAGAAAGCAGGGGACCUUCGGGCCUUGCGCUAUCAGAUGAGCCUAGGUCGGAUUAGCUUGUUGGUGAGGUAAUGGCUCACCAAGGCGACGAUCCGUAACUGGUCUGAGAGGAUGAUCAGUCAAACUGGAACUGAGACACGGUCCAGACUCCUACGGGAGGCAGCAGUGGGGAAUAUUGGACAAUGGGCGAAAGCCUGAUCCAGCCAUGCUGCGUGUGUGAAGAAGGUCUUCGGAUUGUAAAGCACUUUAAGUUGGGAGGAAGGGCAGUCAGCGAAUACCUGGUUGUUUUGACGUUACCGACAGAAUAAGCACCGGCUAACUCUGUGCCAGCAGCCGCAGUAACAC
rnacentral:rRNA from 1 species